GGAAGUGCCAUGGCUCAGGGGUAGAGCUUCUGUCUUGUAAGCAGAAGGUCCCAGGUUCAGUCCCUGGCAUCUCCA